rnacentral:lncRNA from 1 species
GCCGGAGCCGAGCGGGGCGGAAGCGCGCGCUGUGCUGCUGCUCGGGCCCGACCGCGCCGGCCCCCGUACCUCCCGGCCCAGGCUGCGGGCUGCGGUCGGGGCGGUCCCGGGCCCAGGCGCCUGCCGCGGGACGCGCUUCCGCGAAGUCUGGCUCACGGGUUCCCGGAACGGGGCUGGAGAGAUGGCUCACCACUUAAGAGCUACUGAUUGCUCUUCCAGAGGUCCUGAGUUCAAUUCCGAGAAACCACUUGAUGGCUCACAACCACCUGUAAUGGGAUCCAGUGCCCUCUUCUGGUGUGUCUGAAGACAGCUACAGUAUAUUCAUAUAUAUAAAAUAGGACCUGGAUUUCGUUUCUAGCACCCAUAUGGUGGCUUACAGUGGCCUAUACCUCCAGUUCCAGGGGUCCAGUGUCUUCUUUUGUGCUUCAUGGGCACCUGAGAGCCGGCGUGUGCACACAUAUGCACGCACUCACACACACACACACACACACACACACACACACACACACACACACACACACACACACACACACACAGAGUACAUCUAGAUACAUUCAGGCACAUGAACAGGUUAGCGGUGAUUGCUAUGGGAACUGUUCCAACUCCAGGAUGCAGAGCGCUCUUCAGACAGCCAGGGUGCCUUGAUUAGCUGGCUUCAUCUUCAUCUCCAUCCAGAAGGCAUAGUUUAAUUUCUAUGCAUUGAGAGGACUAAGAUGUAUAGUGUUCAUCAGACAAGACCCUCCUGUGUCCCCACGAUUUCUGCUUGAUGUGUAUUUUUUAGAAAGAUUUAUUUAUUUUACAAAUAUGAGUACCCUGUCUUCAGACCCACCAGAAGAGGGCAUCAGAUCCCAUUACAGAUGGCUGUGAGCCACCACGUGGUUGCUGGGAAUUGAACUCAGGACCUCUGGAAGAGCAGUCAGUGCUCUUAACCAACUGAGCCAUCUCUCCAGGCCUUGAUAUGUAUUUUUUUUCUUUUCAUUUCCUAUUGAGUUGUUGGCUCCACGGCCAUUAUUCCCUUUUGCAUGCUCUCCGUAAGUGCCCGUAAAUCUCUUUUGUCUAUAGCGUGGUUUCGGCAGGUGACCACUGAUGCAGGAAAUUUUUGCUUUGGAGUGGCUGAGCAUUCAUGGUGCCAAGUCCAUGGGCAUAAUUCAGUCUUGAUUCCACGGGAAACUGAGGACAAAGAACCAAAUGGUCUAUCAGUCCUCCCGUCACCAGGCUGCCAGCUCCUAGGUCAUUUAAGUAAAUAAAUCAGACCUCUCUCUGUUGGGUUCUGACCUGGGGACUCACGGAAGAUCAUCGCCACCUCCUGGAAACUGUGAGCACAGAGAGCUGGAGGAGGGGCUGGGUGAUCAGCGCUUAAGAGCUCUUGCUUAUUUUGCUCUUGGAGUGGACAUGAGUCUCAUUCCUGGUACUCCCAUAGAAGCUCAUAACUGCCUGCAGCUCUUUCUCCCGGCGGUCUGAUGCCCUCUUGUGGCCGUUCAUGCCUCCUGAAUUUAUAGGGACAGGCAACCAUACAUAACACAUAAUUCAAAAUAAAUCCUCUUUUUCUUCUUGUUUUGUUCAGAUAGGAUUUCACUGUGUAACUUAAGCUAUUCUGGUCUACAGAGUGAGUUCCAGGACAGCCAGAGCUACACAGAGAAACCCUGUCUCGAAAAACCAAAAAGUAAAAUAAAACAAAACAAAAUAAAAUAAAAUAGGAUGCUGAAAUGUGGCUCUUCACAGCUGAUGGCUCUGUUGGGGGUUGAGGAGAAGAAGGACCUGGUGCCACUACGAGUUUGACCAUGAGCAUAUAGUAUAUACACAACACAGAUUGAACUUGGGUGUUUGCUGUUGUUUUUGUUUGUUUGCUUUCUUUUUAGGGAGAGGGGAGGCCACAAGGAUCGGGAGGCAAACCUGGGAGGACUGGGAAGUGGGUAUCCUGGGGUGGGGGAGGGUAUGUGAGUCAAUAAAUAAUCAAUAAAUAAUAUAUUU